rnacentral:rRNA from 1 species
UACGAAGGGGGCUAGCGUUGUUCGGAAUUACUGGGCGUAAAGCGCACGUAGGCGGCUUGGCAAGUCGGAUGUGAAAUCCCUCGGCUCAACCAAGGAAGUGCAUCCGAAACUGCUGAGCUUGAGUACGAAAGAGGAUCGCGGAAUUCCCGGUGUAGAGGUGAAAUUCGUAGAUAUCGGGAGGAACACCAGUGGCGAAGGCGGCGAUCUGGGUCGAUACUGACGCUGAGGUGCGAAAGCGCGGGGAGCAAACAGG